ACCCAAGGGGGAGGUGCUAGCGAGGCUGUCUUCAGCUCCUGAGCCAUAACACAUUCCACCUGAGAUUCAGAGUUCAGACUACAGCAGAGACACUUCCGUAAUGUCAAGUCGUGUGACAGAUGGCAGUGGAUCAGACUCCUGCAGCAAGCUAGACAGAUUCAUAGAAUGGCUGAUGCAGAAGCUCAGUUACAUCAGCGUGACAACUGGCCAUGACGAGUACAUGAAGGAGAUGGGAGAGAGGAAGCAGAGGAACGGGGAUUUCAACCGCAAGAGAUUAGUGAAACAUGAACCAGCCAUUGAAGCCACUUAAAAUAAUAAUAUUAUUUCCUACAGCUAAUACUGCAGUGUAUGUA